GACGAACGCUGGCGGCGUGCUUAACACAUGCAAGUCGAACGGAAAGGCCCUGCUUUUGUGGGGUGCUCGAGUGGCGAACGGGUGAGUAACACGUGAGUAACCUGCCCUUGACUUUGGGAUAACUUCAGGAAACUGGGGCUAAUACCGGAUAGGAGCUCCUGCUGCAUGGUGGGGGUUGGAAAGUUUCGGCGGUUGGGGAUGGACUCGCGGCUUAUCAGCUUGUUGGUGGGGUAGUGGCUUACCAAGGCUUUGACGGGUAGCCGGCCUGAGAGGGUGACCGGCCACAUUGGGACUGAGAUACGGCCCCGACUCCUACGGGAGGCAGCAGUGGGGAAUAUUGCACAAUGGGCGGAAGCCUGAUGCAGCAACGCCGCGUGCGGGAUGACGGCCUUCGGGUUGUAGACCGCUUUCGCCUGUGACGAAGCGUGAGAGACGAGAAUGGGUAGAGUAGCACCGGCUAACUACGUG
rnacentral:rRNA from 1 species